rnacentral:rRNA from 1 species
AGCGAACGCUGGCGGCAGGCUUAACACAUGCAAGUCGAGCGCCCCGCAAGGGGAGCGGCAGACGGGUGAGUAACACGUGGGAACGUGCCUUUUGGUUCGGAACAACCCAGGGAAACUUGGGCUAAUACCGGAUAAGCCCUUACGGGGAAAGAUUUAUCGCCAAAAGAUCGGCCCGCGUCUGAUUAGCUAGUUGGUGGGGUAAUGGCCCACCAAGGCUACGAUCAGUAGCUGGUCUGAGAGGAUGAUCAGCCACAUUGGGACUGGGACACGGCCCAAACUCCUACGGGAGGCAGCAGUGGGGAACAUAGGACAAUGGGGGCAACCCUGAUCCAGCCAUGCCGCGUGAGUGAUGAAGGCCUUAGGGUUGUAAAGCUCUUUUAGCAGGGAAGAUAAUGACGGUACCUGCAGAAAAAGCCCCGGCUAACUUCGUGCCAGCCGCCGCGGUAA